GAUGAAGAACGCGGCGAAAUGCGAUAAGUAAUGUGAAUUGCAGAAUUCAGUGAAUCAUCGAAUCUUUGAACGCACAUUGCGCCCUCUGGUAUUCCGGGGGGCAUGCCUGUUCGAGCGUCAUUAUAACCACUCAAGCUCUCGCUUGGUAUUGGGGUUCGCGGUUUCGCGGCCCCUAAAAUCAGUGGCGGUGCCUGUCGGCUCUACGCGUAGUAAUACUUCUCGCGAUUGAGUUCGAUAGGUCUACUUGCCAGUAACCCCCAAUUUUUACAGGUUGACCUCGGAUCAGGUAGGGAUACCCGCUGAACUUAAGCAUAUCAAUAAGCGGAGGA
rnacentral:misc_RNA from 1 species